rnacentral:rRNA from 1 species
GUGAGGAAUAUUGCGCAAUGGAGGCAACUCUGACGCAGCCAUGCCGCGUGCAGGAAGAAGGCGCUACGCGUUGUAAACUGCUUUUAACCGGGAAGAAACCCCAGGACGUGUCCUGGGUUGACGGUACCGGAGGAAUAAGCACCGGCUAACUUCGUGCCAGCAGCCGCGGUAAUCCGAAGGGUGCAAGCGUUAUCCGGAUUCAUUGGGUUUAAAGGGUGCGUAGGCGGAGCGUUAAGUCAGUGGUGAAAUCCUGCAGCUUAACUGUAGACUUGCCAUUGAUACUGGCGCUCUUGAGUGCGCUUGAAGUGGGCGGAAUGUGCCGUGUAGCGGUGAAAUGCUUAGAUAUGGCACAGAACACCAAUUGCGAAGGCAGCUCACUAAGGCGAUACUGACGCUGAGGCACGAAAGCGUGGGGAUCGAACAGGAUUAGAAACCCGUGUAGUCC